CAGCAGCCGCGGUAAUACGAAGGGUGCAAGCGUUACUCGGAAUUACUGGGCGUAAAGCGUGCGUAGGUGGUGGUUUAAGUCCGUUGUGAAAGCCCUGGGCUCAACCUGGGAAUUGCAGUGGAUACUGGGUCACUAGAGUGUGGUAGAGGAUAGUGGAAUUUCCGGUGUAGCAGUGAAAUGCGUAGAGAUCGGAAGGAACAUCUGUGGCGAAGGCGACUAUCUGGGCCAACACUGACACUGAGGCACGAAAGCGUGGGGAGCAAACAGGAUUAGAGACCCCUGUAGUCCCUGUCUCUUAUCA
rnacentral:rRNA from 1 species